UUGGAAAGAGAGACAGGCUCAACAGAGAGAGAGGCACGACAUUUGAGAAAGGCCUUUGAGUUUUGGAGGGAGCAGCAGCAAGGCAGGAGGAGAUAAACACAACAAGAGGACAAGUCUGGACAAGAGACACUAUGAGGAGACCAAGAUGCAGUGACCACAUCCAGGGAGUUCCAGGCAGAGAUACUGAGGCCGUUGUAGAGACAGAGCAUGAAGAUCAUCAUCGACUCACUGGUGCCGAACCAAAGGAAGAAGCAGCUGAUGCCUGACAGCACCAUGGAGCCUCCUGCAGGACACAAAACGACACAUCUUAUGCUUGUCAGACACAAAAUAGCCCCGUUUACGUCACCAGAGGUCACUGCAGAUACACCAACAUCAGAAGACAUCAAAACAUUUUGCGAGAGUAAAGGCUGCUACUCAUGGCCCAAACAAAAAGUCAGCGCAGGUCCUCAGUGACCAGAGACGCUGUUAUGUCAUACCUAACAUGCUAAGCCGUCCUAUUUUGUCCAUGAGGAGGGCAGAGACGAUGUUUCCAGGUAGCACAGCCAGUGUUCCCAGGAAGUUGACAAAAUAGACCCAGUAGGCACUGUAAUCAUCAUCAAAUGUCAUCUGACAACCUGUCUUGUUGUGGUGGAAGGAGCUGUUGAUCACCCUUGAAUCUGUUAGUUUAGUGUCGUCAAUAUCUGUAAAUGUGAGAGACAAGAGUACAGUUUUCACACUGUGUUUAAAUAACGCAUUAGCAUAUGUUUUUAUCUGCCUGGCUCCUUCUAUACUUAGAUAAAAAUGGGAAAAACUGAACUUGAGAGAGCUUUCUGGUGCAGAAACUACAUGUUCUGUCUUCUGUUCUGGCUCCAGCUGAUGGGGAAUAUAAAAUAAAUGUGUUAUUUGUUUUAA